CGUGAAGCCGGGGUGCAGACGCCUGUCAAGCCCAGGCGGAGUCCCUGGCGCGCUGGGCGGCGCGGGCGGCGCAAGUGGCCCGUCUCUGACCCCGAGAACACGAGGCCGCCCGUCCUGUGCGCCUCAGGCCACCGCCCUGCCCCUCCGGCGGCUCCGGGGCCCCAUCGCUGCGCAGCAGCCGGCAGGUUCCAGGGAUUUGGAUGUCUGUGUCUUUGGGGCGCCAUUACUUCGCCUGCCACGUGGUACAGAGCAGGAGAUACCUUUACAAAUGAGGAUUUCCUUUAUGAAUGUAAACUUCCCUUACAAAAGUGAAAUAAGAAACACAGUGAGUCUACGGGAAUCCCCUGGCAGUCCAGUGCCUAGGACUCCGCGCUUAAAGUGUUGAAGACACGUGUCAUGUCCUUUCUACUUUCUUAUUGGGAAGUUAAGAUGGUGAACUGAGCCCCAGAGGUGGAGUGAACUCCCAAAUCCAUGCCGGGCAUGUAACUGAAUGGGAGACUUAAGCCCCAAACACAUCGAUUUGUGAAUAGAAAUGAUACUGAGAGAACAGCAGGCACCCGACUGUGACAAGAAUUCCCCUGUUUCCUUUUGUCAAGCCGGUCGUGUGAGAUCUGUAUUUCUGGUUAUCAUCCGAUAGAACACACGCCUUGUCAAUGUCCAUGUCCAGCAGAUUUGAGAAAAGGAAAUAAAUGGCAUCAGUUAAGAGAAAGAAACAUGCUCUAUUGAAGUGUCGUACCAAUACAGCAAUGGCAAGAAACAGAAGCUAUGGACGCAGCGCUUGGGAGAUGAACAGCCUGCUGGGGACUUGACGGCCCCCUGGGCCUUCGGCUCCUGGAACCACGACGUACCCGCGCACGCCGAGGGCUCCCCUUACCCGCGCAUCCUCUGCUGACCACCUCCAGCCCAUCAGUCUGCUCGUCUGCCUGCACCCUCGCCCCUUCCCAGACGCGGCUGUUCCCACCUCACUCUCAGGUCAGAUCCAGCCCUGCCAUCCGCUGCAGGCCCUCUGCCCCUCCCUGAGGGCCGCGUCCUCCCUGCGCUGACUCUCGGGCAGUGUGUGCUCGCCUUACGUUGGCCGAAUCCAUGGCUCAUCUUGCAAGUGACUUGUAAACUCUGCAAGAAUAACCAUCUCCUCUGAAGUCCUAGCAAGACUGUGUCCUUUCUACUCAUUUAACUGGUCAAGAGGCAUCUGAUCAAUAAAGAGACGAUGAGAAGAUUAUUCACAGCAGACCCUGAUUAAGUCCCACAUCACUGCAAGUGCUGACUUGCUUCCCGACUAAUUUCUACGCUCCCUGAAAGCACGGAAUACAGUUUGCUCUCUGGCGCAGUCCUUUACACUAAGUGCUUAAUAAAUACAU